rnacentral:rRNA from 1 species
AACGAACGCUGGCGGCAUGCCUAACACAUGCAAGUCGAACGAGAUCCUUCGGGGUCUAGUGGCGCACGGGUGCGGAACGCGUGGGAAUCUGCCCUUAGGUUCGGAAUAACAGUUAGAAAUGACUGCUAAUACCGGAUGAUGACGUUAAGUCCAAAGAUUUAUCGCCUGAGGAUGAGACCGCGUAGGAUUCGUUAGUUGGUGUGGUAAAGGCGCACGAAGGCGAGGAUCCUUAGCUGGGCUGAGAGGAUGAGCAGCGACACUGGGACUGAGACACGGCCCAGAAUCCUACGGGAGGCAGCAGUGGGGAAUAGUGGACAAUGGGGGCAAGCAUGAACCAGCAAGGCCGCGUGAGUGAUGAAGGCCUUAGGGUUGUAAAGCGCUUUUACCCGGGAUGAUAAUGACAGUACCGGGAGAAUAAGCCCCGGCUAACUCCGUG